UUUGGGUAGGUAAAGGGAAAUUACAGUCAAAGGGGGGUUGUUCUCUGGAGGGCAGGAGUGGGGGGUCACAAGGUGCUCAGUGGGGGAGCUUUCUGUGCCAGGAUGAGCCAGGAAAGGGAAUUUCACAAGGUAACGUCAUCACUUAAGGCAAGGACCAGUCAUUUUCAUUUGUUUUGGGGUGGAAUGUCAUCAGUUAAGGCAGGGGCAGGGUGUUUUCACCUCUUUUGUGACUCUUCAGUUACUUCAGGCCAUCUGGGCCUAUACGUGCAAGUCACAGGGGAUGCAAUGGCUUGGCUUGGGCUCAGAGGCCUGACAGUCAAAUCUAAAAGGAGCCAAGAAUCAAACCCUAAAAUGGGAAAAUGUUGUAAUUGUGGAAAAACGACAUUUUAAAAAGGAAUGCCGCCAGACCUCAAGACAGAAAGGAUCUUACAAUGCAUUGUCCCACCCAGCAGAAAAAGUGCCAGGACUUUGUCCUCACUGUAACAAAGGAUAACUGGGCUAAUCAGUGCCACUCAAGAUUUCAUCAGAAUGGCACCCCGCUGUCGGGAAACGAGAUGGGGGCCGGGACCCAGGCCCCUCAAACAAUAAGGGCAUUCCCAGUUCAGCCCUCAACACUGUUUCAGGCUUGAGUUCCUAAAGGCACAUUGAUUCCCCCACCCCAGGAACACCAGGAAGUGCAAGAUUAGAUCUACCCCCCAAGAAUCAAGUUAGUUGUGGGAUACAAACCCAUCAAAGUUCCCACUGGUUUUUGGGGACUUUUACCAACAGGAUACACAGGACUAAAUUUAGGCAAAAGCCAUCUUAACUUACAGGGCAUUACUGUAGUCCCAGAAGUUGUUGACUCUGAUUAUGAAGGAGAAAUUCAAGUAGUUUUUUUUUUGCUGUUGUUGUUGUUGUUGAGACGGAGCCUUGCUCUGUCACCCAGGCUGGAGUGCAGUGGUGUGAUCUUGGCUCACUGCAAGCUCCACCUCCUGGGUUCACGCCAUUCUCCUGCCUUAGCCUCCUGAGUAGCUGGGACUACAGGAAGCUCACUUGAGAUCAGGAAUUUGAGGCUAUUGAGAGCCAUGACUGUACCACCACAGUUCAGACUGAAUGACAGACUGAGACUUUGUCUCAAAACAAAACAAAAACCAACAACAGACACAGCACUUCAACCCAUCGAUAUAAAAUACUUUAAAUUGUCCCGUAACUAUUCACAGAAUUAAAUGUAUAAUGCAAAAUUUUGACACCUAAAAAAAAAAACUCGACUCAAAAGAUACCAUCUAAAGAAAUAACAUCAAUUCUACCUAAUUCUAUAAAAAAUAGAAGAGAAUCUACCACAUAUCUUUAAGAACAUAAUCAGUUCUACAUAAUCUCUUUGAGAAAACAAGAGUUACAGCAAACACAUUCCUAAGAGGGAAUUCCAUAGCAAUGAAGGCACAUCAAAAAAACAAGGCCGAGUGCAGUGGCUCACACCUGGGUAUCACAGGUGUUAUGUUCUUGGGUAACAUAUAAAUUAGAACUUUUUGAGUUAUAUUCUUUUCCUCUAAACCACUUAGUGAUACUCUUUUAUGUUGCUCAGUGUUUUAGAAGUGCUUUCCUUUUUAUUGCUUGUGUCGUUUGUUUAUGCCAUAUCAUACCCUUUAAACUACCUCUCUUGAUUUUCUCAUAUAUACUGUUAGAUCUGCCUGAUUGUAUUCAGAACAUAUCCAUAUAUGUAACUAUAUGGAUACACACACACAAAUUCUUCAUAAGUGACAUUGUGCACUGGUAGGUAUGUUAUUUGGUUGACUUUCUUACUAGAAAACGAACUAUUGAAGAUCAUCAAUUUAUAGGAGUUUCCAAUGCCUGUUUCAACAUAGCCAUCCCUAAAAUCAAGGUCCCAGGACUCUUUCCAG
ensembl:lncRNA